rnacentral:rRNA from 1 species
AUGAACGCUGGCGGCGUGCCUAAUACAUGCCAGUCGAGCGAACAGACGAGGAGCUUGCUCCUCUGACGUUAGCGGCGGACGGGUGAGUAACACGUGGAUAACCUACCUAUAAGACUGGGAUAACUUCGGGAAACCGGAGCUAAUACCGGAUAAUAUAUUGAACCGCAUGGUUCAAUAGUGAAAGACGGUUUUGCUGUCACUUAUAGAUGGAUCCGCGCCGCAUUAGCUAGUUGGUAAGGUAACGGCUUACCAAGGCAACGAUGCGUAGCCGACCUGAGAGGGUGAUCGGCCACACUGGAACUGAGACACGGUCCAGACUCCUACGGGAGGCAGCAGUAGGGAAUCUUCCGCAAUGGGCGAAAGCCUGACGGAGCAACGCCGCGUGAGUGAUGAAGGUCUUCGGAUCGUAAAACUCUGUUAUUAGGGAAGAACAAAUGUGUAAGUAACUAUGCCCGUCUUGACGGUACCUAAUCAGAAAGCCACGGCUAACUACGUG